GACGAACGCUGGCGGCGUGCUUAACACAUGCAAGUCGAGCGGUAAGGCCCUUUCGGGGGUACACGAGCGGCGAACGGGUGAGUAACACGUGGGUGACCUGCCCUCAGCUCUGGGAUAAGCCUGGGAAACUGGGUCUAAUACCGGAUAUGACUCCAUGACGCAUGUUGUGGGGUGGAAAGCCUUGUGCGGCUGAGGAUGGGCCCGCGGCCUAUCAGCUUGUUGGUGGGGUGANGGCCUACCAAGGCGACGACGGGUAGCCGGCCUGAGAGGGCGACCGGCCACACUGGGACUGAGACACGGCCCAGACUCCUACGGGAGGCAGCAGUGGGAAUCUUGCGCAAUGGGCGAAAGCCUGACGCAGCGACGCCGCGUGAGGGAUGACGGCCU
rnacentral:rRNA from 1 species